GGUAUGGUGUGUGUGUGUGUGUGUGUGUGUGUGUGUGUGUGUGAUCGUGUUCUGUUUCAGAAAUCUCCCGGCACUCGUGAAUGGCGAAUGUGUCGUAGGUGAAUAAUGCUUCGGUGGAAUUAGGUUGAGGGACGUUGAGUGUUUUGGAGACAUCUGGAGACGGUAGAGUCAGACGGCACCAAAACUUACUAAUUGGAACAUUACCUGCCCUCCAACUGCUAUAACAUGGUAAACUUGAAGCUUAAGGACGUUCCUUCUGUCGAGCUACACAUCAUAUAAUGGAGAUGCCAGUGAUCCUGACCGUUUCUGCUCUCCGGACCUGCCUGAUCCAUCUGGAUGCCUUACGUCUGGAUGGAGCUCUCAUCAACUGGAGGCUACAGCCUGGAGAUC
ensembl:lncRNA